rnacentral:lncRNA from 1 species
ACUUGUGUGGAAGUCAGAGAGCACCUUGUGAGAGUUGGUUCUGAUUCCAUCAUGUGAGCUCCAGGGAUCACCCUCAGGUUGUCAGGCUUAGAAGCGUCUCACAGGCUCUGAGUCAUCUGUAGUUCUUCAGUGUGCUUUCUUUCACUCCUCAUGGUCCUUUUCAGCAAAUAGUAAUACCUUAUAAUCUUAAUGCUGCAUAUACUCAUAAUUUUCAUAAAAUCCAGUAGUAAUCAUUUU